UCGAGCUUUUCCUCUCACCACGCCGGGGGUCAAGCUCCUCCUCGCCUCACACCGGCGGCCUUUAUCUCUCCCAUAUCCACAUGCUGGAGGCAGAGCUCCGCCCCAGCGCUGCUAUCUCGCAGCCGCAGCCAAACUCCGGUUGGCUAGGAGCCUGCGCUCCCACCUCUCCGGCGCCGCCGGCUGCCGUGCCUACUCGGUCUGCCUGCGCGCACGGCCAUACGCCCAUACCCCAUGCCGAGCUCAUCCCUGUGCCCACCCCAGCAGUCGCGGCCGGAUGCCUCCUCCGCCUGCCGCAGCAGCCAUGGACGAGCGCCUUCGAUCCUCCGCCUGCGACGACCACCGUGCGCGCCGCCGCCGCAUGCCCACCAGCCGCGUGUCGCGUGCCUUUCCUAUCCGCACCCCAUCUCCCCUGGGCCCGCACGGCGCAAGGAAAGCGCACCGUGGGGCCAGCUCGGCAUCGAACGGAGCGCUGGCGACCUCGCUACGUCUAGCGACGAUUCUUUCUCUCUCUCCGUUUCUCUCUCCGACGUGGCUCCGGUAUAGAGAGUGCUAUCGGCCCGUUGCGGGUGCCCUAAGGUCAAGAUUGCAUUCACCCAUCAAUUACAGUUCUGGAAAAAAAGAUUGACGCAACGGUUAUAGUUUCAGGAGGAGAGGCCUUGGAAAGUUGGAACAAGAAUGUGGAGAAUGGAGAAGAGGCUGGCUCUGUGCUGUCGGAACAUAAGUCUGUAUAGUGGAGCCUGAUGUAAUGCAAACUGAAAUACAGAUGUGCAAAAUGUAAUUAAAAAACAGAUAUUGCUCUCAAAUAUAAUGCUGUCUCUUUUUUGAAAACUGAAAUACAGAUGUGCAAAAUGCAGUUUGUAUGGCCAGCCUAAUAGCAAUUGAAUGGAGCUACCACAUUGUAUAAUGUAUGGAUGUAAUGAAAAAAAUGAGUGUGCUCUCAAA